UAAAGGCUCUUGCAUGUGCAAUAAAGGCUCUUGCAUGUGCAAUAAAGGUUGCAACUGAGAUUUAUUUGACUUUGUUGUGAGGAAAAAAUAAAUAAAGGGGGACAGAUCUAGGUUGCUACAAUAAAGGUUACAGUUGGGAUUUAUUUGACUUUGUUGUGAGGGAAAAAUAAAUAAAGGGAAAGAUCUAGGUUGUUGCAAUAAAGGUUGCAACUGGGAUUUAUUUGAUUUUGUUGUGAGGAAAAAAUGAAUAAAGGGAAAGAUCUAGAGAAGAAAAAUAAUGUUGUUAAAGGCUUGAAACUAUGAGAAGCUGGACACUGAAAAAAGUGAAAAACAGAGAGAGAGAAGAUGAGAAGAGUGAAAAACAGAGAGAGAAGAGGUGAUGAGAAGAGUGCGACUGUGUGAGACUAAGAGAUGGUGAGUGACAGAGAGAAAAAAACCUACUUAUUGAGAAUCGAGAUGGAAGAUGCAGUUCUUCACAUUGUGUUGCUGCCGAAGGAGAACUUCCGUAGAGAUGAAGUCGUCAGAGUGAGAAAGAGAAGUAGCACUUCAGUGUUUUUGCCCAAGAAGAACCCGAUCUUCAGGUUGUCGAAGAAGAAGUUGAUCUUCAGGUUGCUGAAGCCACCUCAACAAACCAAAGGCUCAUACUUUAAUGAGCAAGGCGUGAAAGACGUACGUAGGGCACGCCUUUGAAGCGCUUCAGGUGAAAAGGUGUUCGCCUUUUGUGUUCAACGUUGUUGUGCCAACGCCUUAAGGAGUUUUUUGGAUGCCUCACCUUCGAGCGCGUCUCCAAGCGCGCCUCAAGAGCGCCUUUCAAAACACUGGUAAAAAAUAGGUUACUUUUCAAGUUAAAAAAUGGAAGAUGUUAGUUUUAUAAAUUUGAGAUCUUUUCAUCCCUUCCACUA